AACAGUGAAGUAGUGAAAUGCUAACUGUGUUUUCUUCAACAACACUGAGUUGCAGACUUUUAGUGAAUCAUGAUAAAUGUUUAUAGUUGAGCAUGUUACUAUUGCAUCAGAAACAUCUACACCAGCUCUGUGUGAUAAUUCAGUGGUGUGUGAACCAACAGUGCAUGGAAACAGCACUAACAUGAACACACAAGAGAAAACAGGUAAGAUGUCUUAUAAUUCACCAUUAAAUAAUUAUCCUUAAUUCAUAAAAUAAAAUUUGCCUAGACAAUCAAUUGUGCUAAGGUAAAUGUAAUGUGGUGAAAUAACAGUAUCAGAAAUGACUAGAUCUCUACAUUCGACAGUGCUCGGUUUGGGAACGGCUUUGGGUUUGUGUGCACUUCUGAUUUUCUGCCUCAUUUAUUUCAUACUGAGGAGAAGAAAAUGUGAAAACUCUAGAAUGAAAGCUUGUACAGAAAAUUCUUCGGGAAUGAGGCAGGAAUCUGAAGCUGAACCACUGAAUUAUGCAGCUGUGCAAUUUACCAAGAGGAAAGCCAAAGCUGAAAAAAAGAAAACUGGCUCAUUAGAUGAGUGUGUGUACUCCGAUGUGAAGAAAACUGUCAGAUGUAACAGAAAUAAUUCAUAACACAUGGUAUAAUUACACUGCAUAAACAUAAAAAUGCCUAGAAAUAAUCCUACAUUUUACAAUUCUAUAUUAGUUUACGCUUAUGUAUUAUAUAAGAUAUUAUAAUAUAAUAUUAUAUAUAAUAUAAGAGUUAUAUUAAAGU